rnacentral:rRNA from 1 species
AGUGAACGCUGGCGGUAGGCCUAACACAUGCAAGUCGAACGGCAGCACAGUAAGAGCUUGCUCUUACGGGUGGCGAGUGGCGGACGGGUGAGGAAUACAUCGGAAUCUACUUUUUCGUGGGGGAUAACGUAGGGAAACUUACGCUAAUACCGCAUACGACCUACGGGUGAAAGCAGGGGAUCUUCGGACCUUGCGCGUUUGAAUGAGCCGAUGUCGGAUUAGCUAGUUGGCGGGGUAAAGGCCCACCAAGGCGACGAUCCGUAGCUGGUCUGAGAGGAUGAUCAGCAACACUGGAAGUGAGAAACGGACCAGAGUCCUAAGGGAGGCAGCAGUGGGGAAUAUUGGACAAUGGGCGCAAGCAUGAUCCAGCCAUACCGCGUGGGUGAAGAAGGCCUUCGGGUUGUAAAGCCCUUUUGUUGGGAAAGAAAAGCAGCAGGUUAAUACCACGCUGUUCUGACGGUACCCAAAGAAUAAGCACCGGCUAACUUCGUG